GUCUCUCACCUUCACAGCGCUCUGGAGGGCAGUCAUCAUGGCUGUUCUGCGGGCCCACGAGCGGUAGAAGUACUUCUGACAGCCGUCCCACGCAGCGCUCAUCUCAGUGUGGUGUCUGUAGCAGCCAGGUGGGUGUGUCUUGUCUUACGUUUUCUCUGCCUGCUCCUGGGUCCAGACUGCAGCCAGGGCGGUCUGCAGCUCCAGAGGCUGCAGACACAGGGUCUCCUCUGGGUCCGCUGUCCUGUUCCAGUUCAGGCCCUUACGGUAGGACAGACCUGCAGAAAGACAGCAGCACCGUCAGUAAACUAAAAUACUGCACAAUAUCAGUGUAGACUGACAGUGUUACCACAAUGACAUUGGCUAUACUUGGGAUAAACAGUUCUCUUUAGAGACUCACCAAUCUCAGCCAGCAUCUUGAAGAGGUCAGACAGGGCUCUCUGCUUCUGCUGGAGGAUGUGUUUGACCUCUGACUUCUGCUUCUCCUUCUCGGCUUUCAGGUCGAUCGUGAGGCUCUGGAGGUCGCGCAGGUUGCAGAUGAUCUCCCCUGAAAUAAAGACAAAUAUCUUACAGUCAAAGCUAUAAUCAUAGAGGGGCCUUUCCCCCCCACAAUCUCAUCCGAGGUAGUACAUCUUAAGAAAACAUUUCUCAUCCAAAACCUGAUGCCUUUGUUUUUCUCAUCGUCAUUCAUGAUGGAUUCUCAAUGAGGCAGCACAAGCAGACGUUCUUCAUCUAAAACCUGUGACACCAGGUUUUCUCCAACCCUUACCGGUGAAGACAUCCAGGUCCUCAGAGAGCUCUGGCAGAGGGUUCUUCUUCACCAGUGUCACACACAUCUUCCUCAUCUUCCUGGUGAGGAGGGCCAGGCGGCCCUGCAGAGACGAGGGCUCCACACCCGCCGGUCCCUCCUCUGGGGACUCAUUCUGGAACACACAUCACAGUUACAGUCUCUGGUCCUGCCAGGAAGGGUGUUCUUCAGGGCAUGGUGAACCCUGUGGAGUGGGGUGUUCUCUUCGUUGGCAUCCACACUGUCCAGGCUGGCACUGCUGCCCUGCUCCAUCAGCGCUGGAGCAACCGGCCCGCUCAGCGCCGCCUCAAACUUCUUCACAAACUUAAACAGGGUUCUGGAAAACCAGAAGAGUGGUAGAUAUUGUUGCCUUACCGGUGGGUCUUAUCCACUGACUGUUUAAUGGACCAGAAACUGACAUCAUUCCACUUGGAGAUCUUCACAAAGUCCUUGAGUUCCUUCUCAAUGGGCUGGCGGAGCUGAGUGACUUUGGUC